rnacentral:rRNA from 1 species
AUUGAACGCUGGCGGCAUGCCUUACACAUGCAAGUCGAACGGCAGCACGGGUGCUUGCACCUGGUGGCGAGUGGCGAACGGGUGAGUAAUACAUCGGAACGUACCUUAUCGUGGGGGAUAACGCAGCGAAAGCUGUGCUAAUACCGCAUACGCCCUGAGGGGGAAAGCGGGGGAGCGAAAGACCUCGCGCGAUUAGAGCGGCCGAUGCCUGAUUAGCUUGUUGGGGGGGUAACAGCCCACCAAGGCGACGAUCAGUAGCUGGUCUGAGAGGACGAUCAGCCACACUGGGACUGAGACACGGCCCAGACUCCUACGGGAGGCAGCAGUGGGGAAUUUUGGACAAUGGGGGCAACCCUGAUCCAGCAAUGCCGCGUGAGUGAAGAAGGCCUUCGGGUUGUAAAGCUCUUUUGUCAGGGAAGAAACACCGGCUCUAACACAGUCCGGGAAUGACGGUACCUGAAGAAUAAGCACCGGCUAACUACGUGCCAGCCGCCGCGGUAA